rnacentral:rRNA from 1 species
UACGUAGGUGGCAAGCGUUGUCCGGAUUUACUGGGCGUAAAGAGCGCGCAGGCGGUCGUUCAAGGCGCGUGUGAAAGCCCCCGGCUCAACUGGGGAGGGUCACGCGAUACUGAUCGACUCGAAGGCAGGAGAGGGUAGUGGAAUUCCCGGUGUAGUGGUGAAAUGCGUAGAUAUCGGGAGGAACACCAGUGGCGAAGGCGACUACCUGGCCUGUUUCUUGACGCUGAGGCGCGAAAGCUAGGGGAGCAAACGGG